rnacentral:rRNA from 1 species
UACGUAGGGUGCAAGCGUUGUCCGGAAUUAUUGGGCGUAAAGAGCUCGUAGGUGGCCUGUCGCGUCGGCUGUGAAAACUCGGGGCUCAACUCCGAGCUUGCAGUCGAUACGGGCAGGCUAGAGUUCGGCAGGGGAGACUGGAAUUCCUGGUGUAGCGGUGAAAUGCGCAGAUAUCAGGAGGAACACCGGUGGCGAAGGCGGCUCUCUAGUACGGUACUGACGCUGAGACGCGAAAGCGUGGGGAGCGAACAGG